GACGAACGCUGGCGGUAUGCCUAACACAUGCAAGUCGAGCGAGCAGAUCCCUUCGGGGUGAAGCUAGCGGCGGACGGGUGAGUAACACGUGGGCAACCUGCCUCAUAGAGGGGAAUAGCCUUCCGAAAGGAAGAUUAAUACCGCAUAAGAUUACAGCUUCGCAUGAAGCAGUAAUUAAAGGAGCAAUCCGCUAUGAGAUGGGCCCGCGGCGCAUUAGCUAGUUGGUGAGGUAACGGCUCACCAAGGCGACGAUGCGUAGCCGACCUGAGAGGGUGAUCGGCCACAUUGGGACUGAGACACGGCCCAGACUCCUACGGGAGGCAGCAGUGGGGAAUAUUGCACAAUGGGGGAAACCCUGAUGCAGCAAUGCCGCGUGAGUGAUGACGGCCUUCGGGUUGUAAAGCUCUGUCUUCGGGGACGAUAAUGACGGUACCCGAGGAGGAAGCCACGGCUAACUACGUGCCAGCCGCCGCCGUAA
rnacentral:rRNA from 1 species